UUCAUCAUUUUAACAAUUGAAAAAUCAGGACCUCAUUCUUCACUUCAGCCCUAACUUGCUCAUUCUCUCUCUCCCUCCCUCCGUAAUCGAUCUUCAUUCCUGUAAGAGCUCCAAGGCAAAUUGAGCUCCACAUUUGAAGAUUAAUAGUCGUUUUUCAAUUAACAAUUGAAGAUUGAGCUCAAUCUUCAAUUGUCAAUCUUCAAUCUCUCGUACCUCGGUUUGCUCAAUCUUCAGCCCUAAAGUCGGGAGCUCCAAGGCAGAUUGGGAGCUCAAUCUUCAAAUUUUGGUUGUAGUGAAGGAUGUGCCUAUUAAUACAAAGGAUACAGAUGUUAUUAUAGAUAAUGGUUACUUUGAGAAUCGGCACUCCUUCUUAAGCUUCUGUCAAGGAAAUCAUUAUCAGUUUGAUACCCUUCGCCAUGUCAAGCAUUUCUCAAUGAUGAUCCUUUAUUAUCUCCAUAAUCCAACCAAGCAAAGUGUUGGGACCAGCUGCUGCAUUUGCCAUCAGGAUAUUGUGGUGAAUCAGGGAUGGCACUGUGAGAUCUGUCCAAGGUUUGAUGCUUGUGAUGGAUGCUAUCAUAGAAAAGGUGAUGAUUGUCAUAUUCAUAAAUUAAUGUUCAUCCGUUGUAAAUUGUGGGUCAAAGAAUGGACAGACUCAGCAACAGAAAUCUACGCAGAUGAGGGAAAUACUGGAUGUUCUGAUGCAUGCCUCCUAAUGUAAUGUGACCAAAAGCAGCAUCUGCUCCUAUCCAAACUGUGUUCUGGUAAUAAGGCUUUUCCACCAUUCACAUCAAUGCAAUCUUCGGUUUGCUGGGGGCUGUCUCACCCGUCAGAAAACCUGGAUGCUGCUGGCAUUGCACUCAAAAGAUUGAAGGAAAUAACAAGAGGUUAUGUUCAAUGCAAUUUUGGAGAACACUUGCAGUGAGCAAGGAGCAAGGAUGUCUGCCAUGGAUAAAUUCCAGCAAAAAUGCUGGCGAGAUGCUUGAUCGCCUCACACUUAUUAUAACAGGAAUGUCCAAAGGGUGUCACACUUAAGUAUAGCUUGAAGCCUCUUGUGCCAAGCCUGUCUGAUAUAAAGCCUGAUAUUGAUGAUGAGAAAAUGCUUUUUUAGAUAUUUUCUUUGAAGAAACUAUUGUUGCUAUGCUUCAUUUGAACUGUUACUACUUCGAUUUGAAUUUGGAAACUUUCAGUUUUAAUUUUUGUCAAAUUUACUUUCUAUAUACUCACUAUGAUUUGGGAAUAGAGUGGGUUUGAUAUGUGAAUGUCAA